rnacentral:rRNA from 1 species
AUGCAAGUCGAACGGGGUAGCAAUACCUAGUGGCAGACGGGUGAGUAACAUGUGGGUAUCUUCCCUUUGGUGAGGAAUAACACGAGGAAACUUGUGCUAAUACCUCAUAAGUCUUUACGGAGAAAGCUUUAUGCGCCAAUGGAUGAGCCCGCACUUGAUUAGUUAGUUGGUAGGGUAAUGGCCUACCAAGACUUUGAUCAAUAGCUGAUUUGAGAGGAUGAUCAGCCACAUUGGGACUGAGACACGGCCCAAACUCCUACGGGAGGCAGCAGUAGGGAAUCUUGCACAAUGGAGGAAACUCUGAUGCAGCGAUGCCGCGUGAGUGAAGAAGGCCUUUGGGUUGUAAAGCUCUUUCGUCGGGGAAGAAAAUGACUGUACCCGAAUAAGAAGGUCCGGCUAACUUCGUGCCAGCAGCCGCGGUAAUACGAAGGGACCUAGCGUAGUUCGGAAUUACUGGGCUUAAAGAGUUCGUAGGUGGUUAAAAAAGUUGGUGGUGAAAUCCCAGAGCUUAACUCUGGAACUGCCAUCAAAACUUUUUAGCUAGAGUUUGAUAGAGGAAAGCAGAAUUUCUAGUGUAGAGGUGAAAUUCGUAGAUAUUAGAAAGAAUACCGAUUGCGAAGGCAGCUUUCUGGAUCAUUACUGACACUGAGGAACGAAAGCAUGGGUAGCGAAGAGGAUUAGAUACCCUCGUAGUCCAUGCCGUAAACGAUGUGUGUUAGA